GCGGGUGUAGUUCAAUGGUAGAACACCUCCUUGCCAAGGAGAAGGUUGAGAGUUCGAGUCUCUUCGCCCGCU
rnacentral:tRNA from 1 species